ensembl:snRNA U6 U6 spliceosomal RNA
GUACUCGCUUCAGCUGCACAUAUACUUAAGUUGAAAUGAUACACAGAUUAGUAAGACCCUUGCACAAGGAUGAUGUGAAAAUUCAUGACACAUUCCAUAUUUUU